rnacentral:lncRNA from 1 species
AGGUCAAUCAAUUGUAUGGUUGUGGAGAAAUACCGAUUUCAUAUACAAAAGGGGAGAAAACUCCUAUAAGGGUUGACCAAAACACUUCGACUUAAAUUGGUUGAAGUUGCGCCUUAUUGUAAACAGCUAUUUGGAAAACACAUCAUAUCAUUAACUGUUACGGUUUCUUUUGAAUAAAGAUAACAAGCAAAAUUCAAAAUUUAGAACAUGACCUUUACCUUUGACCUUGA